GACGAACGCUGGCGGCGUGCUUAACACAUGCAAGUCGAACGGAAAGGCCCUGCUUGCAGGGUACUCGAGUGGCGAACGGGUGAGUAACACGUGGGUGAUCUGCCCUGCACUUCGGGAUAAGCCUGGGAAACUGGGUCUAAUACCGGAUAGGAGCCAUUUUUAGUGUGAUGGUUGGAAAGUUUUUUCGGUGUAGGAUGAGCUCGCGGCCUAUCAGCUUGUUGGUGGGGUAAUGGCCUACCAAGGCGGCGACGGGUAGCCGGCCUGAGAGGGUGGACGGCCACAUUGGGACUGAGAUACGGCCCAGACUCCUACGGGAGGCAGCAGUGGGGAAGAUUGCACAAUGGGCGCAAGCCUGAUGCAGCGACGCCGCGUGGGGGAUGACGGCCUUCGGGUUGUAAACUCCUUUCGCUAGGGACGAAGCUUUUUGUGACGGUACCUAGAUAAGAAGCACCGGCUAACUACGUG
rnacentral:rRNA from 1 species